UCAGUCUUCGAAGACCUGCAAAAAAGAAAGAAACAGAACAGAUGAAACGGCAGGAGACAGAGCAAAAGAAGGGGAAGCGAUGACACACGGCUGCAGCAUGGCGAUGCCUGCGGUUGUCAAAACCCAACAGAGCUUGCUGCCAUCUUAGCCGAAAACACCAUUAACUCGCCCCCAAGAACCGAAAUAGCUGCAGGCACAUACACAGGCAGGGAGAGGAGGCUGAUUAACGGCAGUCUUGAGAUGGAGAUGGAAGGAAAAGGCAGCUGGCUUCGCUGGCCAUCCAGAACCGCUCUGGAAGAAUGCCAAAAGGGGGCAACCUACGGCAGAUUUAUAGAGAGAAGAGGGGGCUUGGCAGAGGAGGAGCAAAAAAAGAA
rnacentral:lncRNA from 1 species